CACGUAGGGGGCAAGCGUUGUCCGGAUUUAUUGGGCGUAAAGGGCUCGUAGGCGGUUCGACAAGUCGGGUGUGAAACCUCCCAGGCUCAACCUGGAGUCGCCACUCGAAACUGUUGUGACUUGAGUCCGGUAGGGGAGCAUGGAAUUCCUGGUGUAGCGGUGGAAUGCGCAGAUAUCAGGAGGAACACCAGUGGCGAAGGCGAUGCUCUGGGCCGGUACUGACGCUGAGGAGCGAAGCAUGGGAGCGAACAGG
rnacentral:rRNA from 1 species